UGCCAGCCGCCGCGGUAAUACGGAUGGUGCGAGCGUUGUUCGGAAUUACUGGGCGUAAAGGGCGCGUAGGCGGCGCUAUAAGUCAGAUGUGAAAGCCCACGGCUUAACCGUGGAAGUGCAUCUGAAACUGUAGUGCUUGAGUAUCGGAGAGGAAAGUGGAAUUCCCGGUGUAGAGGUGAAAUUCGUAGAGAUCGGGAGGAAUACCGGUGGCGAAGGCGGCUUUCUGGACAGUGACUGACGCUGAGGCGCGAAAGCGUGGGUAGCAAACAGGAUUAGAUA
rnacentral:rRNA from 1 species